ACGCCUCUAAGUCAGAAUCCAAGCUAGCAACCGGCGCCUGUGCCCGCCGCUCGCCCCGACCCUCAUUAGGGCGUUCGCGCCCCAGGGGCCCGUGCCAUUGGCUCAGCCUGGUCGGUCGACGCGCCGUAUCCGGCCGGCUCGAAGCUCCCUUCCUAACGGGCGGAGGGCUGAAUCCUUUGCAGACGACUUAAAACGCGACGGGGCAUUGUAAGUGAGACAGUGGUCUUGCUGACACGAUCCACUGAGAUCCAGCCCCAUGUCUCACGGAUUCGU
rnacentral:ncRNA from 1 species